UGGGAUAACAAAGGAGCAGCCUAUGGGCCACCGUUUCGGCUUUUGUUGGUAUUUAGAAGUCCAUUGGAGAUUAUGGGGUCGUGUGACAAGCGGUUGGGCGUGUUGCUUUUGGUCUUUACGGCCAAGGCGCCGCCCGUCGCCCCCGGAAAAGAUUUUUGUGCGCCGGCGUCGCAUGCGAGACUUCGGUCCCGUAUCGUCCCGCGUACGCCUUUUUCGGCUCGCGGCAUCCAGGAAUGAAGGAGGGUAGUCCGGGGGAGAACGUAUUGGUGCGUCAGAGGUGAAAUUCUUAGACCGCACCAGGACGGACUACAGCGAAGGCAUUCUUCAAGAAUACCUUCCUCAAUCAAGAACCAAAGUGUGGGGAUCAAAGAUGAUUAGAGACCAUUGUAGUCCACACUGCAAACGAUGACACCCAUGAAUUGGGGAGUUUUUGGUCGCAGGCAGGAAAAACCGGUGAUAUCGGGUUCGUCCCAUAUCUCCUUUUCUCCUUGCCUCGCCAAUAAUAUCAAAUUUACGUGCAUAUUCUUUUAGGCCCUUUUCCUCCUUUGUGGGGAGGGGUUUUGACGGGAAUAUCCUCAGCACGUUACUUGACUUCUUCACGCGAAAGCUUUGAGGUUACAG
rnacentral:rRNA from 2 species